AUACGGAGGGUGCAAGCGUUAUCCGGAAUCAUGGGGUUUAAAGGGUCCGCAGGCGGACUAAUAAGUCAGUGGUGAAAUCCUCUCGCUUAACGAGAGAACUGCCAUUGAAACUGUUAGUCUUGAAUUCGGUCGAAGUAGGCGGAAUGUGUCAUGUAGCGGUGAAAUGCAUAGAUAUGACACAGAACACCGAUAGCGAAGGCAGCUUACUAGACCUGGAUUGACGCUCAUGGACGAAAGCGUGGGGAGCAAACGGGAUUAGAAACCCUAGUAGUCC
rnacentral:rRNA from 1 species